UGGGUGAAAAGUCAUUUCUUUCAGUCAUAUAGACGUCAGUUAGGAGGGGCCCCGAUGUCUAUAUGACGGAAAUUAAUGGUUAUUCACCUACCUACCAGAAAUAUAGACGUUAGUUGGGAGAGCCUCGACUUCUAAAGCACUUUAGACGUCUGUUACUCUAUGAACCGACGUCUAAACCCUAAAUCCAAAAAUUCAAAAAGUCACUUUUUGACUCCAUUUAGACGUCUGAU
rnacentral:lncRNA from 1 species